GACGAACCGUGCGAACGUUGUUCGGAAUCACUGGGCUUAAAGGGCGCGUAGGCGGGCUGUCAAGUCUGGGGUGAAAUGCCGCGGCUCAACCGUGGAACUGCCUCAGAUACUGACGGCCUCGAGGGAGGUAGGGGCGUGCGGAACUGUAGGUGGAGCGGUGAAAUGCGUUGAUAUCUACAGGAACUCCGGUGGCGAAAGCGGCGCGCUGGACCUCUUCUGACGCUGAGGCGCGAAAGCGUGGGGAGCGAACAGG
rnacentral:rRNA from 1 species